rnacentral:sRNA from 1 species
ACAUAUACUGAUUCCCAAGGCGUAAUUUUUGUUGUUUUUCUCUGUCUAUUCCACAGUCUUCUGGAAGUUAAUCCGGAGCAGAAGGAGCAGUCAGAGAGCUGUUCUUCUUGUUGGCCUUUGUGAUUCCGGGAAAACGUUGCUCUUUGUCAGGUUGUUAACAGGCCUUUAUAGAGACACUCAGACGUCCAUUACUGACAGCUGUGCUGUAUACAGAGUCAACAAUAACAGGGGCAAUAGUCUGACCUUGAUUGACCUUCCCGGCCAUGAGAGUUUGAGGCUUCAGUUCUUAGAGCGGUUUAAGUCUUCAGCCAGGGCUAUUGUGUUUGUUGUGGAUAGUGCAGCAUUCCAGCGAGAGGUGAAAGAUGUGGCUGAGUUUCUGUAUCAAGUCCUCAUUGACAGUAUGGGUCUGAAGAAUACACCAUCAUUCUUAAUAGCCUGCAAUAAGCAAGAUAUUGCAAUGGCAAAAUCAGCAAAGUUAAUUCAACAGCAGCUGGAGAAAGAACUCAACACCUUACGAGUUACCCGUUCUGCUGCCCCCAGCACACUGGACAGUUC